CCGCUGCGCGCUCACGAGCCCAGGUAGCGGGCGCGCCGGAGCCUCCUCGGGGGCGCGCGGCCGGGCUGCUGUCCUCCCCCACCGCCCUGCACCCGGCCGCUCCCGGAGCCUGGGGAGGGAGAGCGCGGGCGGGGGGAGCCGGGCGCCGCCGCCGCCGCCGCCAAGGCUUCCGUCUCUGGCUCGCGCAGAGGCGGCAGCAGAGGUCGCGCACAGAUGCGGGUGAGACUGGCGGGGGGAGGAGGCGGAGGAGGGAAGGAAGCUGCAUGCAUGAGACCCACAGACUCUUGCGAGCCGGAUGCCCUCUGUGGAUGAAAGAUGUAUUAUGGAAUGAACCCGAGCCAUGGAGAUGGAUUUCUAGAGCAGCAGCAGCAGCAGCAGCCUCAGUCCCCCCAGAGACUCUUGGCCGUGAUCCUGUGGUUUCAGCUCGCGCUGUGCUUCGGCCCUGCACAGCUCACGGGCGGAUUCGAUGACCUUCAGGUGUGUGCUGAUCCAGGCGUCCCCGAGAAUGGCUUCAGGACGCCCAGUGGAGGGGUGUUCUUUGAAAGCUCUGUCACCCGAUUUCAUUGCCAAGAUGGAUUCAAGUUGAAGGGUUCUACAAAGAGACUGUGUAUGAAGCACUUUAAUGGAACCUUAGGCUGGAUCCCAAGCGAUAAACCUGUCUGCGUGCAAGAAGAUUGCCGCAUCCCUCAGAUUGAAGAUGCUGAGAUUCAUAACAAGACCUACAGACACGGAGAUAAGCUAAUCAUCACUUGUCACGAAGGAUUCAAGAUCCGUUACCCCGACCUGUACAACCUGGUUUCGUUAUGUCGCGAUGACGGAACGUGGGACAACCUGCCCAUCUGUCAAGGCUGCCUGAGACCACCGGCCUCUUCCAAUGGCUAUGUGAACAUCUCCGAGUUCCAGACUUCCUUCCCAGUGGGAACCGUGAUCUCCUAUCACUGCUUUCCCGGGUUUAAACUCGAGGGGUCAGAAUACCUCGAGUGCUUGCACAACCUUAUCUGGUCGUCCAGCCCACCCCGGUGCCUUGCUCUGGAAGCCCAAGUUUGCCCGCUACCUCCAAUGGUGAGUCACGGCGAUUUCAUCUGCCACCCGCGGCCGUGUGAUCGCUACAAUCACGGAACCGUCGUGGAGUUCUACUGCGAUCCCGGCUACAGCCUCACCAGUGAUUAUAAGUACAUCACGUGCCAGUAUGGGGAGUGGUUCCCUUCCUAUCAAGUCUACUGCAUCAAGUCAGAGCAAACGUGGCCCAGCACCCACGAGACCCUCCUGACCACAUGGAAGAUCGUGGCAUUCACAGCGACCAGCGUGCUGCUGGCGCUGCUGCUCGUCAUCCUGGCCAGGAUGUUCCAAACCAAGUUCAAGGCCCACUUUCCCCCCAGAGGGCCUCCCAGGAGUUCCAGCAGCGACCCUGACUUCGUGGUGGUGGACGGUGUGCCUGUCAUGCUUCCAUCCUACGACGAGGCUGUGAGUGGCGGCUUGAGUGCCUUAGGCCCCGGGUACCUGGCUUCUGUGGGUCAGGGCUGCCCUUUACCUGUGGAUGACCAGAGCCCCCCAGCAUACCCCGGCUCGGGGGACACGGACGUGGGCCCAGGGGAGUCAGAAACCUGUGACAGCGUCUCGGGCUCAUCCGAGCUACUCCAGAGUCUAUAUUCACCUCCCAUGUGCCAAGGGGGCACCCAUCCCGCUUCUGACAACCCUGACACAAUCGCCAGCACGGCGGGGGAGGUGGCAUCCACCAGCCCAGGCAUCGACAUUGCGGAUGGCAGGACUUCUGAAAGUGGUGCCUAGGAUCAGGGUAACACACACGCGUGCCAGGAGGAAAGACCCAGAUGCGUGCCCUAGGGCCUGGUGCGGGCGAAGUUCUGUGUACACGCAGGGUCUUUUUACCAGAGAUCCCUCUAAUGGAUGAAGACCCGUAGCCAGGCCACGUCCGGAUGAUUCCGCUGCCCCUUUCGGACCAGGAACCUCCUUCCUUGGAGUGAGGCAACAGCAAGACAGAGCGUGGGGGAUGGGGAAGUGUUCCAACUUAUCUACAUGGGGACAGUGACUCACAUCGUACAUCACAGACUCAACAGUGGGGGACAAACACUGACAAACUGCAGUGGCAGCUCUUUUAAAUGGGACCUGAGGAUUUGCCAAGACCAACGGGAAAUACAGGGAUGAGGGGAACUCGCCCCGUGCGGUCCUGGAUGAAGAGGUCAAGUGUGUCUCGUGUUGGGGAACAUGAGACAGUUCCACGCACACGCCACUGAAUCCUGCGCCCCGUUGACUCAUGUCAUGAGUACUACCUGCCUCCCCUGAAAGCAUGUCACAUUAUGUAAAUUCGCUUCUAAAAUCUGCUUCAAACUGUCUCUGGACUCCAAAUUAGGAUGGACCAGCCUCUGCCGGAAGUCUAGGUUGAGCUGCACGAAGAGCCACAGAGCGCCCCCUGGAGGCUUGCAGAGGGAAGGUUCUCGUGCGCCUUGUGGACAAUUCUACUCAAGACCAAGACUGAAAAAACAGGAUGUGGCAGUUCCAGCGGGAAAAGAAAGACUCAGGCGGACUCUGCUUUUUUGGACAUUCCUUCAAAAAGGAGAGUUCAUGUACUUCGUGUUGCCCUUUGGUGAAAUAGCAUCAGUAUUUGUGUUCAUGGUCUAGCGCCUGGAUCGUGGCAUUGGAUAAACCUUGUGACUUUACAAGUGGUCAGAAUGUGUUCAGAUACAUCUCAUGGUGGAGAAAGUGACCAAGGUAAUGUUUGGUUUCGGCAUUUUAAAAAGAUUCCAUUUGAUAAUUUAUCUUAGCGUCAUGAGCCCUCUCUCAUUAACGAUUAUGAUGGCUGCCCUCGCUCCCAAACUCAGCCAUAUUUUUAUUUUCCAAAACAGAAAUUGUUUCUGUAAACGCAUUCCUCCUCCAAAUAAAGUAUGAGGUUGGAUUUAUUUUUCCCCCCCUUUUAUUUUGUUCUAUAACGCCUGCAGGCCAAUCCUGCAUUCCUAUAGUGAGAUGCCCCGGGUCCCACUGCGUAUUGUUCCAAAAAAAUGAAUGAUUAAAAAAAAAAAUUACCCCGAAUCCUGAAGUGUCUCUUCAAAUACAUGUUGAUCUGUGGAGUUGAUUUGUUUCUUCCUCUGGGUUUUAGACAAAUAUAAACAAAACUCUGAUCCAUAAAAUUGCUAUAUGCUGAUAGAGUUGUGAGAGCUGGAAGCGUGAUCAAAUCCUGUUUUUUCUUAACACCGACUGAUUAAAAAUUAAAAA